UGACCAGACGUCCAAAUGUGGUA
rnacentral:siRNA from 1 species